UCAGGACGAACGCUGGCGGCGUGCUUACACAUGCAAGUCGAACGGACAGAUUUAGAGCUUGCUUUAAAUCUGUUAGUGGCGGACGGGUGAGUAACGCGUGGGUAACCUGCCUUAAACAGAGGGAUAGCAAGUGGAAACGCUUGGUAAUACCACAUAAAGCCUAAGCAUUGCAUAAUGAAUAGGUGAAAGGAGGAAUCCGGUUUAAGAUGGGCCCGCGUCCAAUUAGCUAGUUGGUGAGGUAAGAGCGCACCAAGGCGACGAUUGGUAGCCGAACUGAGAGGUUGAGCGGCCACAUUGGGACUGAGAUACGGCCCAGACUCCUACGGGAGGCAGCAGUGGGGAAUAUUGCGCAAUGGGGGGAACCCUGACGCAGCGACGCCGCGUGAAGGAAGAAGGUCUUCGGAUUGUAAACUUCUUUGAUUAGGGAAGAGGAAGGACGGUACCUAAAGAACAAGCCACGGCUAACUACGUGCCAGCAGCCGCGGUAAUACGUAGGUGGCAAGCGUUGUCCGGAAUUACUGGGUGUAAAGGGCGAGUAGGUGGAUCACUAAGUCAGAGGUGAAAACCCAUGGCUAAACUGUGGGAUAGCAACUGAAACUAGAGAUCUUGAGUACUGGAGAGGGAAGCGGAAUUCCUAGUGU
rnacentral:rRNA from 1 species